GAUGAACGCUGGCGGCGUGCCUAAUACAUGCAAGUCGAGCGAAGGGACGAGAAGCUUGCUUGUCGGAUGUUAGCGGCGGACGGGUGAGGAACACGUGGAUAACCUACCUAUAAGACUGGGAUAACUACGGGAAACCGGAGCUAAUACCGGAUAAUAUUUUGAACCGCAUGGUUCAAAAGUGAAAGACGGUCUUGCUGUCACUUAUAGAUGGAUCCGCGCUGCAUUAGCUAGUUGGUAAGGUAACGGCUUACCAAGGCAACGAUGCCGAGCCGACCUGAGAGGGUGAUCGACCACUCUGGAACUGAGCCGCGGUCCAGACUCCUACUAGGGGCGGCAGUAGGGAUUCUUCCGCCAUGGGCGAAAGCCUGACGGAGCAACGCCGCGUGGGUGAUGAAGGUCUUCGGAUCGUAAAACUCUGUUAUUAGGGACGAACAUAUGUGUAAGUAACUGUGCACAUCUUGACGGUACCUAAUCAGAAAGCCCCGGCUAACUACGUG
rnacentral:rRNA from 1 species